rnacentral:rRNA from 1 species
UACGUAGGGGGCAAGCGUUGUCCGGAAUUAUUGGGCGUAAAGAGCUCGUAGGUGGUUUGUCGCGUCUGUUGUGAAAGCCCGGGGCUUAACUCCGGGUUUGCAGUGGAUACGGGCAGACUAGAGGUAUGCAGGGGAGAACGGAAUUCCUGGUGUAGCGGUGAAAUGCGCAGAUAUCAGGAGGAACACCGAUGGCGAAGGCAGGUCUCUGGGCCACUACUGACGCUGAGAAGCGAAAGCAUGGGGAGCGAACAGG